rnacentral:sRNA from 1 species
CGCGACGGAGACGAUGCCUGAGAUCAGAGUCACGCCCUUGGGGGCCGGCCAGGACGUGGGCCGAAGCUGCAUCCUGGUCUCCAUUGCGGGCAAGAAUGUCAUGCUGGACUGUGGAAUGCACAUGGGCUUCAAUGACGACGUGAGUCCCUCGGGCAGGAGGCCCAGAGGCUGGGAGAGCCGGCCAUCCACAGCUGGACCCUGGGCCUCAGAGCCGGGACAGUGGGGCAGUGGGCAGCAGUGGUUGUGCUUGGACGGCUGCACCCUGUGGGGAGCAGGGAUGGGUGGGCCUGGCCGAGGCGAGCCCCUGCAUGGGAGGGUCCCCCUGUGCUGGCGCUGGGCCCCAGUCCCGGGGUCCUGUAGGCUGGGCUCAGUGAGACCUUGGGCUCAGCUUCCAGCUCACAUCUGUCAGUGAGGUUGGGGGUAACCUCGGCCCCUCCGGAUGCUGUGAGCAGUCAGGGGUCCUGGUGCCAUCUGUGGGGUGGGAGUGCCCAGCAUGAGUCUGCACAUAGAACCCCCCUUCCUGGGGGCCCCUCCCUGGGGCAUGGGUGGCCCCAGAUGCUGCCUGGAGACCACUGCGCAACCUGAAACCCCCACGUCCUUCCCAGCGACGCUUCCCUGACUUCUCCUACAUCACCCAGAAUGGCCGCCUGACAGACUUCCUGGACUGCGUGAUCAUUAGGCCAUCUGCCCCAUCUUGCUGGAGGACUACCGCAAGAUCGCCGUGGACAAGAAGGGCGAGGCCAACUUCUUCACCUCCCAGAUGAUCAAAGACUGCAUGAAGAAGGUGGUGGCUGUCCACCUCCACCAGACGGUCCAGGUAGACGAUGAGCUGGAGAUCAAGGCCUACUAUGCAGGCCAUGUGCUGGGGGCAGCCAUGUUCCAGAUUAAAGUGGGCUCAGAGUCUGUGGUCUACACGGGUGAUUAUAACAUGACCCCAGACCGACACUUGGGAGCUGCCUGGAUUGACAAGUGCCGCCCCAACCUGCUCAUCACAGAGUCCACGUAUGCCACGACCAUCCGUGACUCCAAGCGCUGCCGGGAGCGAGACUUCCUGAAGAAAGUCCACGAGACCGUGGAGCGUGGUGGGAAGGUGCUGAUACCCGUGUUCGCGCUGGGCCGCGCCCAGGAGCUCUGCAUCCUCCUGGAGACCUUCUGGGAGCGCAUGAACCUGAAGGUGCCCAUCUACUUCUCCACGGGGCUGACUGAGAAGGCCAACCACUACUACAAGCUGUUCAUCCCCUGGACCAACCAGAAGAUCCGCAAGACUUUCGUGCAGAGGAACAUGUUUGAGUUCAAGCACAUCAAGGCCUUCGACCGGGCUUUUGCCGACAACCCAGGACCGAUGGUUGUGUUUGCCACGCCAGGAAUGCUGCACGCUGGGCAGUCCCUGCAGAUCUUCCGGAAAUGGGCCGGAAAUGAAAAGAACAUGGUCAUCAUGCCCGGCUACUGCGUGCAGGGCACCGUCGGCCACAAGAUCCUCAGCGGUCAGCGGAAGCUCGAGAUGGAGGGGCGGCAGGUGCUGGAGGUCAAGAUGCAGGUGGAGUACAUGUCAUUCAGUGCACACGCAGACGCCAAGGGCAUCAUGCAGCUGGUGGGCCAGGCAGAGCCGGAGAGCGUGCUGUUGGUGCAUGGCGAGGCCAAGAAGAUGGAGUUCCUGAAGCAGAAGAUCGAGCAGGAGCUCCGGGUCAGCUGCUACAUGCCGGCCAAUGGUGAGACGGUGACGCUGCCCACAAGCCCCAGCAUCCCCGUAGGCAUCUCGCUGGGGCUGCUGAAGCGGGAGAUGGCGCAGGGGCUGCUCCCUGAGGCCAAGAAGCCUCGGCUCCUGCACGGCACCCUGAUCAUGAAGGACAGUGUGAGUGCCAGGACGGCCUCUGGAGGGGGGAGGGCUGCUGCUGCGCUCCCUGACCUGUCCCUGCCCCACAGAACUUCCGGCUGGUGUCCUCAGAGCAAGCCCUCAAAGAGCUGGGUCUGGCUGAGCACCAGCUGCGCUUCACCUGCCGCGUGCACCUGCAUGACACGCGCAAGGAGCAGGAGACGGCGUUGCGCGUCUAUAGCCACCUCAAGAGGUGGGCACCCGGCCCCACCCCCCCCACUCCCUUGGGCCCUGGGGGCCAGGCAGGGUCUCACUGAGCCUCCCCACAGCAUCCUGAAGGACCACUGUGUGCAGCACCUCCCAGACGGCUCUGUGACUGUGGAGUCCAUCCUCAUCCAGGCCGCCGCCCCUUCUGAGGACCCAGGCACCAAGGUGCUGCUGGUCUCCUGGACCUACCAGGAUGAGGAGCUGGGGAGCUUCCUCACAUCUCUGUUGAAGAAGGGCCUCCCCCAGGCCCCCAGCUGAGGCCGGCAGCUCACCCAGCCACCACCUCUGCCCUCUCCCAGCUGGACAGACCGGGGCCUGCACUUCAGGACUGUGGGUGCCCUGGGUGAACAGACCCCACAGGUCCCAUCCCUGGGGACAGAGGCCUUGUGUCACGCGCCUGCCCAGGCAGCUGUUUCCAGCUAAAGAAAUAAACUGGCCUCCGGGCUGUCUUGCCUUUAUUCCUGCUUCUGGGCCCCCAAAUGGUUAGGGCAGGUGAUCCCAGACAGCGGUUUCCAGUAAAAACUGAACAAAAGA